rnacentral:rRNA from 1 species
UGGGGAAUAUUGGACAAUGGGGGAAACCCUGAUCCAGCCAUGCCGCGUGAGUGAUGAAGGCCUUAGGGUUGUAAAGCUCUUUCGGCGGGGACGAUGAUGACGGUACCCGCAGAAGAAGCCCCGGCUAACUCCGUGCCAGCAGCCGCGGUAAUACGGAGGGGGCAAGCGUUGUUCGGAAUUACUGGGCGUAAAGCGCGCGUAGGCGGUUUCUCAAGUAAGGCGUGAAAGCCCUGGGCUCAACCCGGGAAUUGCGCUUGAUACUGAGUCACUUGAGGCCGAGAGAGGGUAGUGGAAUUCCCAGUGUAGAGGUGAAAUUCGUAGAUAUUGGGAAGAACACCAGUGGCGAAGGCGGCUACCUGGACCGGUACUGACGCUGAUGCGCGAAAGCGUGGGGAGCAAACA